GAUGAACGCUGGCGGCGUGCCUAAUACAUGCAAGUCGAGCGAACAGACGAGGAGCUUGCUCCUCUGACGUUAGCGGCGGACGGGUGAGUAACACGUGGAUAACCUACCUAUAAGACUGGGAUAACUUCGGGAAACCGGAGCUAAUACCGGAUAAUAUAUUGAACCGCAUGGUUCAAUGGUGAAAGACGGUUUUGCUGUCACUUAUAGAUGGAUCCGCGCCGCAUUAGCUAGUUGGUAAGGUAACGGCUUACCAAGGCAACGAUGCGUAGCCGACCUGAGAGGGUGAUCGCCCACACUGGAACUGAGACACGGUCCAGACUCCUACGGGAGGCAGCAGUAGGGAAUCUUCCGCAAUGGGCGAAAGCCUGACGGAGCAACGCCGCGUGAGUGAUGAAGGUCUUCGGAUCGUAAAACUCUGUUAUUAGGGAAGAACAAAUGUGUAAGUAACUAUGCACGUCUUGACGGUACCUAAUCAGAAAGCCACGGCUAACUACGUG
rnacentral:rRNA from 1 species